CAGUUCAACCGCCACAAGAGAAAUGCAGCCGGUCUACAACCAUGCACAUAAACAUGCGAGUCCAUACACAGGAUCGAUUAAAUCAAGUUCAUGGAGGUCGAGCGCGAAUAAGAACACAUUCGCCUCACCAUAAUCAAGUCACAAGUAAUAUCCAGCAAUUCACAUUCUCCAGCAUUCCAAGUAUUUCAAGUCAAUAUACAAGUCACAUGCAAAUCAAGUUACUUGCUCAUGCAUGAAGGAGAUAUCAAGUGUUUAGUCAAGUCAGGUCAAUUGAAUGUUCAUAAGAGCACACCGCCUAAACAGGUUCAAGUUACAAAUAAGUUCAGCAUAUCAUAUUUCAAGCAUUUCAAGUAUUUCAAGUCCAAACAGUUGAAAAUCGGGUGGUUAUGAAACCUGAUCAAACAAGAAGACUGAAGGAAAACUGUAGAAAUUAGAAAUUUUCUCACCAAAUCCGGCCACAUAUCCGGCCAAAUAUUGGCCGAAUUCAAGGUUGGAUUGACAAGGAAGACUUAAAAAUUUGUGAUGCUCACUGCCUCAAAUUCGGCAGAAAAUCCGGCCACUUUUGGCCAGAUUUCGGUUAUAAUUAAAUGGUCGCACAUGCUUGAAUAGAAUAUCAAAGUUUAAUCGAGCUAGGUCAAGUGCAAUAAAGUACGCAUUUGCCUAUGAGACGAUAAAUCAAGUACCUAGCAACUUCUAGCAACAAUGAGCAUAUAAUACAUAGUUGGAACACUCACCAAUCAAUUGCGACCCUUCACUUUAACCC
rnacentral:lncRNA from 1 species